rnacentral:tRNA from 1 species
GCCGUUGUAGCUCAGGGGUAGAGCAACUGAUUCGUAAUCAGUAGGUCGGAGGUUCAAAUCCUCUCAACGGCACCA